GUAAGUAUAGUUUAAUAAAAACACUAGUCUGUGAAACUAGAAAAAGAAGCGUAACCCUUCUUACCUACC
rnacentral:tRNA from 1 species